rnacentral:misc_RNA from 1 species
AAGGAUCAUUACACAGCCCACGCCCUGGUCCGUCCAGGGGCAGAUGGGGGGUGCGCCAGCGCCCAACCCCACACUCUCUGCGUACGAAUCCCCGUUGCUUCCCCGGGGAGGGACAAACCACCCCGGGGGAGGACCACCCAGGAGCACACGAUGCCGACCAACAGACCUUUCCACCCCCCCCUGUCUGAAGGGCCAGAGUGCCAUGAAGUAAGGAGCGAGCGAAAGAGACGAAUGCAAAAAACUUUCAACAACGGAUCUCUUGGUUCCC